rnacentral:rRNA from 1 species
CCAGAGAUGGAUUGGUGCCUUCGGGAACUCGAACACAGGUGCUGCAUGGCUGUCGUCAGCUCGUGUCGUGAGAUGUUGGGUUAAGUCCCGCAACGAGCGCAACCCUUGUCCUUAGUUGNCAGCACGUAAUGGUGGGAACUCUAAGGAGANCGCCGGUGACAAACCGGAGGAAGGUGGGGAUGACUUCAAGUCAUCAUGGCCCUUACGGCCAGGGCUACACACGUACUACNAUGGUGGGGACAGAGGGCUGCAAGCCGGCGACGGUUAAGCCAAUCCCAGAAACCCUAUCUCACUCCGGAUUGGAGUCUGCAAAUCNAAUCCNUGNANUCGNAAUCGANCNGUNAUCNCACAUCANCAUUGCNUNCGGUGAAUANNUUCCCGGGGUCUUUGUNCACACCG